GACGAACGCUGGCGGCGUGCUUAACACAUGCAAGUCGAACGGAAAGGCCCUGCUUUUGUGGGGUGCUCGAGUGGCGAACGGGUGAGUAACACGUGAGUAACCUGCCCUUGACUUUGGGAUAACUUCAGGAAACUGGGGCUAAUACCGGAUAGGAGCUCCUGCUGCAUGGUGGGGGUUGGAAAGUUUCGGCGGUUGGGGAUGGACUCGCGGCUUAUCAGCUUGUUGGUGGGGUAGUGGCUUACCAAGGCUUUGACGGGUAGCCGGCCUGAGAGGGUGACCGGCCACAUUGGGACUGAGAUACGGCCCAGACUCCUACGGGAGGCAGCAGUGGGGAAUAUUGCACAAUGGGCGGAAGCCUGAUGCGGCAACGCCGCGUGCGGGAUGAUGGCCUUCGGGUUGUAAACCGCUUUCGCCUGUGACGAAGCGUGAGUGACGGUAAUGGGCAAAGAAGCACCGGCUAACUACGUG
rnacentral:rRNA from 1 species